UCGGCAAAGAAAAGUAAAAGAUAAGGUACGAAGGAAAUAAUGGAGGACAGCUGUAUGGCCAACAGUGACGGACUCCAAAAUUUUAUAUUUUCUAGUUUAUAGUUUUAUCUAUAAAUAGAGUAGUUUGUUUUUGUAAGAGGCAUCACUUGGAAAUCGAGAAACCUACUCUCAUAUCCAAAAUCCUCUCUAGUAUAGUUUGAAGUUUUCAAGUUUCAGCAAAUAUUGUCAUGUUUGGCGGCUUUCAUAUAACUGAUGAGAGUUCCACAGCAUAGAGUCUAUGUGGAGAACACAAACCUGACGUGUAGGAAGCGUGAGUGUUUUAUAAUUCUCAAUGGCCGCCGCCUUGAUAUCCUGUCUAUAGGUGAGAGCUCGACAAUCAUUGACCCGUCCAAGCAAUUGAACAGAUAUCUUACCAACUCUAUGAGGAUCAUGCACUUGAAAGUCCUUAAUAUAACCUGAUAAUGCAGUUACAACGUAAGGAGACCAAUAUACUCUUAUGAUUUUAAUAGGCUUAUUUGAUUAUACACUCUUUUUGCCUUUUUUGAUUGUUGUUACAUAUUGUUUCAUAUUGUAUCAUAUUUUAUUGUAUCGUACUGUACUGUUUCAACGAAUACAAAGUUUUGCAUA